GUGCCAGCAGCCGCGGUAAUACGGAGGGAGCUAGCGUUAUUCGGAAUUACUGGGCGUAAAGCGCACGUAGGCGGCUUUGUAAGUAAGAGGUGAAAGCCUGGUGCUCAACACCAGAACUGCCUUUUAGACUGCAUCGCUUGAAUCAUGGAGAGGUGAGUGGAAUUCCGAGUGUAGAGGUGAAAUUCGUAGAUAUUCGGAAGAACACCAGUGGCGAAGGCGGCUCACUGGACAUGUAUUGACGCUGAGGUGCGAAAGCGUGGGGAGCAAACAGGAUUAGAUACCCCCGUAGUCC
rnacentral:rRNA from 1 species